rnacentral:rRNA from 1 species
GAUGAACGCUAGCGAUAGGCCUAACACAUGCAAGUCGAGGGGCAUCACAUGAAGUAGCAAUACGGAUGGUGGCGACCGGCGCACGGGUGAGUAACACGUAUGCAACCUGCCUUCAACAAGGGGGAUAACCCGUUGAAAGACGGACUAAUACCCUAUAACACAGGGGUCCCGCAUGGGAAUAUUUGUUAAAGGACAACCGGUUGAAGAUGGGCAUGCGUUCCAUUAGCUAGUUGGCGGGGUAACGCCCACCAAGGCAACGAUGGAUAGGGGAACUGAGAGGUUUAUCCCCCACACUGGUACUGAGACACGGACCAGACUCCUACGGGAGGCAGCAGUGAGGAAUAUUGGUCAAUGGACGCAAGUCUGAACCAGCCACGUCGCGUGAAGGAAGACGGCCCUACGGGUUGUAAACUUCUUUUAUACGGGAAUAAAGUGCCCCACGCGUGGGGUUUUGCAUGUACCGUAUGAAUAAGGAUCGGCUAACUCCGUG